AUGCCAAAGAUGGGAGGAGAGUGGAAGCAGGGAGAGCUGGACUGAGAGACUGUUUAACGUUCAAAACCAGUGCCAAGCUAAAUUAGAAACAGGAGUCUACAUACCUGUAACUUACCUCAUCGGUAUAUAAUUUGUAACCUGAGAUCCCCUCACAGAGAAGUAAAAAUAGCAAGGCUCUCAAACAAAGAACUUGCUUUAAUCUGUUUUUCUUCUUACCUGAUAAGCAGGAUGACAGUGCUGCUGGAGGAGGUUUAGACCUGUCCCCAGUCUCAUUUGCUUUUCUUCCUCUUUCUUCAUCGUGUGGGCCCUGACAACCUUUCUUUCUGAAGCUACAUAAAUUAAACAGGGCUAAGACUAUCAAUUUUUGUACCAGCUCCAAAACAAGCCAAGACAAGAAAGAAUCCU
rnacentral:lncRNA from 1 species